AUUGCUUUUAAUUUUCAACUAUAAAUUACCCAAAACAUUAUAUCAUUUUAUUUAGGUGCGUACCAUUUGUACGUGGUAUUAUAUUAGUAUAGGAAUUUAGAACUUAGGUUACGGGAAGGCUGAAUUUUAUUAAAGGCGGUUUAUGAUGUUUGAUGUGAUUUUAGAAUAAUAAACAAAGAUGAAGUUUGGAUCAAGAACGUGAUCGUUGUUAGGAAUGCGGGAUUUAAUCUACAACAGUAGCCUUCGAAGUUUAGAAGCAUUCCUUUUUUUCGUGUGUUUCAGAUAGUAAUUCACAAUUAAUGUUUACAGCUCGAGAUGACCGGUUGAUCAAUGUUUUUUAUCGGAUUGACUGAUCGUUUCAUGUGAUAUUAGUUUUGUAUCUGGGCUUUCAUUAAAUUUUGACCAUUUGAUAUAAGAUUUGGUGGUCAAAAAUAAUCCAGAUAACGUGAAUCAACGUGCUGUUUCCUUUUGGUCACCCUCAUUUUGCAUUUAGUAUAUAUAAUUGAUAAAGCUGGACUUGCUCAUGAUUCUUGAAAAAAAAACAUAAAAUAAAGUUGGAGGUCGUAACUUGUUGAUCACUUAACGAAGUAUGUUAGGUUUCACAUCGUUAAAAGAAAUACUAACUUAAUACUAACCGUAGCAUAUUGGGUUUAGCCGGCCCUUAAACCAAUUUUGAUGGAUCGUGCUAGCCAACAAUAUGCUUCAUUAAAUCAUUUUUUUAAACGGCCACACGACCAGAUUCCACU
rnacentral:lncRNA from 1 species